rnacentral:rRNA from 1 species
AGAGUUUGAUCCUGGCUCAGGACGAACGCUGGCGGCGUGCUUAACACAUGCAAGUCGAGCGGAAAGGCCCUUCGGGGUACUCGAGCGGCGAACGGGUGAGUAACACGUGAGCAACCUGCCCCUGGCUCUGGGAUAGCUCCGGGAAACCGGGAUUAAUACCGGAUAUGACUCUUUCCUGCAUGGGAUUGGGUGGAAAGUUU